rnacentral:misc_RNA from 1 species
AAGUCGUAACAAGGUUUCCGUAGGUGAACCUGCGGAAGGAUCAUUACAAAUAAAAGCUGGUAGGAAGUGGGGUCUUGAUCUGUAAGUGGUAGAGCGAGCAGUCCGGCUGCCUCCCCGAAAUGUCUUACAAUGUCCCCCACAGCCUGAAGCCAAAUUACAACCCUUGAUUAUCUACACUUGUUGCUUUGGGGGCUCAGUGCCCCAGAGGACCCAACCCUCUUGCAUUUAGUGACGUCUGAGUACUAUAUAAUAUUUAAAA